rnacentral:misc_RNA from 3 species
GUGCUUUGGGCAUCGAACUGCUUGUGCUCCGGCUACCUCUCAGUGUUUUGCUAUGAGGACCAUGUGUCCUUUCAGCCUCUUCGGUUCUUGUAUUGCAUACCUAAUGUGACGGAAUUAGUUGCCAACGGAGCCCCUUUCCUCCUCGUGCCCUCCAUGGGUGCAAGGAGGACAUCAAAGUAGCACACGCGUCCCCGGCCGCCAACAACUUGUUGUGUGGUGACAGCCAUGGUCCGCGUGUGGUUACUCGUCCCCUCGGAUGCGGAAUAUGUGGGCGUGGGGGUUUAUGGCCUUCGAACGUCCGGCAUUAUAGCUGUAUGUGCUAGUUUUGCAUGAUUGUCGAGUCCGUGGUGGCCUUUCGACCCUAGUGGCGUUGGGCGCACGCGGCACCGGCAUCGCGAAGGAA